AUUGAACGCUGGCGGCAGGCCUAACACAUGCAAGUCGAACGAGUCGCGGGCGGGUUACUAAUGUCUGUGCAAGUGCGCGGUGGAUGGGGAUCACUACUGGACACUAUAACUACUACCGCAUACCAGAGGCUGUGCCCAGAUGGGAUUAGCUAGUAGGUGGGGUAACGGCGCACCUAGGCGACGAUCCCUAGCUGGUCUGAGAGGAUGACCAGCCACACUGGAACUGAGACACGGUCCAGACUCCUACGGGAGGCAGCAGUGGGGAAUAUUGGACAAUGGGCGCAAGCCUGAUGCAGCCAUGCCGCGUGUGUGAAGAAGGCCUUCGGGUUGUAAAGUACUUUCAGCGAGGAGGCGUUACUCGCAGAAGAAGCACCGGCUAACUCCGUGCCAGCAGCCGCGGUAAUUC
rnacentral:rRNA from 1 species